CAUCGCUUGACGGAGCGCGGGUAAGAACCCGCUGAGAUCACUAAAAAGCAUUCGUGUUUUUGAUGGUGAGUACCGUUGAACCUGAUCAGGUUAAAACCUGCGUAGGAAUCAAGCCAUCUAAAAAC
rnacentral:ncRNA from 2 species